rnacentral:lncRNA from 10 species
GGGCUACCCACUUCAGGUCCCCUCUUGUGUCAAGAGCUGUUCUGUUGUCUCUUCUCUGCCUUGCUUAUUCUCCAGUUGUCCAUGUAACCUCAUUCUUCUUGGACAUGGGACAAGAACCCAGUACCCACCAAAUGGCAGGUGCAAAAAAUGCUGUAACACUGUAGCCCUCCAACCCUCUGCUGGCACCAGGCUGUUGCUUCAUGUAACAGGAAGCAGUGGCAAUGGGGCCAGGCCAGCCAAGAAGCUAUGAGCUGGAAUGUGGGCAGCAGGACUGAACAAGCUGUAAAACAAAUGAGCUGAAACUUGCUGCCCUCCCACCCCCAUUCACUGUGCUGCAGGCAGUGGAAAGAAGAGAGAGAUGUAUCACUCCUUGAGGGCUCAGACCUCAGGACUCCCCAAGCAACUGUAACACCCCUUGGGCUCCACAGUUGCUGGCAUCUCUGAGUUUUCAGAAGCCACUGCAGCCUCCUUGUCCAGACACUGGCACCCAAGCAGAAAUGAUUCAAGACAGCACACCCGGACCAGUCAUGGACUGAGCACAGAGUUGGCAGGCACUGGAUCCAGGCCCAUAGCACAAGCUGAGUGCAAUCACUGGGCUGAGUGAGAGGAGUAAGCCUAGCAGAAAACCCAGUGCCAAGCAAAGCCUGAGCAAAGGCACCACUAGCCACAGAGCUUUCCUGCUGGCAAAGGAGCACCAAAAGAAUCCUGUGUCAUUUCUGGGGGUCAUCUGAGAUCUGCAAAAGGCAGCAUGAAUACACCCCUUUACUUGAAGAUGAUGCAGAGACUUCUGCCUUUCAAGAUAGCACAUCUCCCUCUGAAGAUUCAUCUCAACCUUUGCUUGGAGCAUCUGGUGACUGAAGAAGAGGCCAAAUCCAUGAAUAAUCAUUAUACAAUGAGUGGGCAACAUUAUAUGGUGAUGAUUCAACCAGUCCUUCUUCACAGAAACCUAUGACCAUUUACUCAGAAUAUGAAAAUAGAUGCAAUUUAAGUUGGGAAAAGUCAAAGGUGACAUUAAAAAAUAUUUCACAACUAGCUGAAUUUGUGUGCAGCACAUUGUUGCUCCAGCUUAAAAACCUCCUGUGUGGUAAAUGCUUGGCAGCCCUGGGGAAGGCAAUGAACACGGUGAAAUUCAGUGCAGUGUGGUAAGACAAGGAGAGCAUGAAUAAUAUUUGGAGAUCUAGCACACCUUAGUGGAAACAAUUAUUAUUACAACUGCUUUGAAGACAUUUGAAUUUUAAACUCCAUUGUUUGUGAAAUUCUAUUUUGACUAAAUAGAGGGACUUUGUUCAGGCUUUUGUUGUCUUUAGCAUGAUGUGUUUCUUUCCUAAACUCCACACAGAUAAGAAGAUAAAUUUGAUCAUGAAUUUCUAAAAGUAGAAAUCAUAGGUUUUUUAGAAUUAGCAUAAAAUUAUUGUACAACCCUCCAUGGGCUAUCAAAUUGGGAGCAAUCCAAUUUUAUUUGCCAUCAUGGUCACAUAUAAAGUGUCAGAUUAUUCUUGUUAGAUGAUUAUUGUACAUUUAACUUAGAAAAGCUUCUCAGGUCUGCUCCUGAGAUGCUUGAAAGACUUUUGGUUUAAAUAGGUUGCAUAUGUUCUGCUGUUAAUGGCUGACCGUUUUUAUUUCAUAUUACUAAAAUGUAAUCAAGAAAAAGAGAGUAGAAAAUACAUCGCAAAUAUUCAGUCUACUAUCUAGACAAUUUCAAAAGCUUUCAAUUUUAUCUCCUGUUCCAUUAUCUUCAAUUGUAGAGUUUGGAUAGGAAAAGAAUUCAAAAAUAAAUACAAAACAUUCAUUCCAAUACAUGAAGAAAAUUAGCCCUGUUCAUGUACAUUUUCUAAUAUGGAUAUGUUUCUAAAAAUCAGAAUAUAAUAUUUAUGGAGUCAUUAGUAAAAUGCACUUGAUUAUCUAAGAAUCUCAACUGCUUGAUGCUUGAUCAAAAACUAGGUAGAAACUAAAUCAUGCCUAUCAACAAUUAAAUAUUUCUGAAAAGGGGACUUCCAAAAUGGUAGAAUAAGAAGCUCAGCAAAUACUUUCCCUAAAAAGUGACAACAGGGGUGGAGCCAAGAUGGCUGAAUAGGAAUAGCUCCAGUCUAUAGCUCCCAGUGUGAGCGACACAGAAGAUGGGUGAUUUCUGCAUUUCCAACUGAGGUACUGGGUUCAUCUCACUGGGGAGUGUCAGACAGUGGGUGCAGGACAAUGGAAGCAGUGCACUGAGUGUGAGCCAAAGCAGGGCAAGGCAUCACCUCACCCGGGAAGCACAAGGGGUCAGAGAAUUCCCUUUCCUAGUCAAAGAAAGGGGUGACAGAUGGCACCUGGAAAAUCAGGUCACUCCCACCCUAAUACCGCACCUUUCCAAUGGUCUUAGCAAAUGGCACACCAGGAGAUUAUAUCCCACGCAUGGCUUGGAGGGUCCUAUGCCCAUGGAGCCUCACUCAUUGCUAGCACAGCAGGCUGAGAUCAAACUGCAAGGUGGCAGUGAGGCUGGGGGAGGGGAGCCCACCAUUGCUGAGGCUUGAGUAAGUAAACAAAGUGGCUGGAAAGCUCGAACUGGGUGGAGCCCACCGCAGCUCAAGCAGGCCUGCCUGCCUCUGUAGACUCCACCUCUGGGGGCAGGGCAUAGCCAAACAAAAGGCAGCAGAAACCUCUGCAGACCUUAAUGUCCCUGUCUGACAGCUUUGAAGAGAGU